UUUUAAUUAAAAACAAAACUAGCUGUCGGCAACACAGAUGUUAUCGUGAGGAAGAACAGAAUCAAUAUGUCGAAGAGGAGGACGAGGGGGGAGAUGGAGGAGCGCUGUGUCGCCAGAGGAGGUUCGAAAAACAACAUCAAAGCCUGAAAAUAAAAAAAAGAAACGAGGAGACCUGAGGCGACUGCAGGGGGAGACAAAGCACCAGAGAAGAUCUCACCUCCGGGUCAGAGCUCUGCUGUGGGUCAAGCACGUCCUUUCACACACAC